rnacentral:rRNA from 1 species
UACAGAGGUCUCAAGCGUUGUUCGGAUUCAUUGGGCGUAAAGGGUGCGCAGGCGGCGUGGUAAGUCGGAUGUGAAAUCUCGGAGCUUAACUCCGAAACUGCAUUCGAUACUGCCGUGCUUGAGGACUGGAGAGGAGACUGGAAUUUACGGUGUAGCGGUGAAAUGCGUAGAUAUCGUAAGGAAGACCAGUGGCGAAAGGCGGGGUCUCCG